UUUACAUCAACAAUGGGAAUUUGAUUCGCAGAGUUGGUUUAGAAUUUAGGAAAGGUUCGGAACGCGAAAGGAGAAAAAAAUGCAAGUUAAGUCCCGCAGAUAGCGAAUAGAGGUGACUCGACGCUGUGUAUGUCACCUGAUGUGUUUCUCGAAAAGUGAGAUUUGUUUCUCACGUCCAUCAAACAUCUGAAUCCCAUUUACAUCUAAAAUAACCAUGCAUUGCUACGGAAUUGCACCCGAUUCAGACGACUUUAAGCGUUCCCUGAAGGUCUUCGAUAAAAGAAAACUCCCGGCGGGGAUAUGCUACUGGAAAACAUUACACACCCAAAGACAACAAAAUUUUGGCGCUUGAUUGAACUGCUGCGAUCGCUGCGAUGUGAAAUGACUCCAAUUAUGUUUUGGGCUCAACGGCCGUUUAUCGAAAUCUAUAUGGAUUUUAUUAUGCUCAUCGACGUCUUGCGAAAUCCGACAGAUGACCGGAGAGCGAUGAUCGCUUCGAAAUCGCCGACAGUAGCAGUAUAUAAAAGAAAACUUUCCAAGUAGUCCGGAAAAGGCUUACGUAUGUGUGGAGGUGAGCAAGAAAAACAUCGUAGAUUGUCGUACGAAACCGCCGUGGACUUCGAAGAAUCAGCGGCAAUGAAAACCGGGUUUUAAAUUCCUCCUCGGGAGUUCAGUUUUAGAAAAUCUUGGAUUCAUAUUUAUAAGUUGAGUGAUAUCUUUCUGUUUUGAGUUCAAUGUUAGCCAAUUAUAAUAAAAACUGCAAAGAAUUGAAUUUUUCAUUAAUUUAUUUCUAAUUGGGAAAGAAAAAGCUCUAGAAUUAAAUUACGUGCAUAUUGUUUUACAUGUAGCUUGGAAUUACAGGUCACUUGUAAUU